CUUUCUUUUUAUCUCGCUUCUCUUUCUCUCUCACUCUUUCUUCUUCGUAUAUCUCAGAAUCUGAAUUCAAUGGACAAAUUGGUGACAGUGGGUGGCAGUUCUUGUACGGCCAUUAACACACCGUACCUAUCGUUUGCGUCUUUAUACCCAAACUAUCCUUGCUAUUCUUCAUCAAUUCCGUUUAAGUCAUUGGCUUUGACACUGAAGAGCUCAUACACUCGGUACUCUCUCGCUUCGCUUCACCGGCGACUCGGCCCGGUUGCUGCGCUCGACUCCGACGUGCCUCGCCCUCUUCACAAGAAUUUGAAGGGCUCUGUUAACUUCAAGAACAGUAAGGGCUACGAACAAUGGGAUUCCUUGACAGCAAAAUUUUCUGGAGCUGCAAAUAUACCAUUUAUGUUAUUGCAAUUGCCACAGAUUAUCCUCAAUGCUCAGAAUCUCUUGGCAGGAAAUAAAGCUGCCCUUUUGGCAGUGCCAUGGCUGGGAAUGUUUACUGGUUUGCUUGGGAACCUUUCAUUGCUUUCAUACUUUGCGAAGAAGAGAGAGAUUGAAGCAGCUUUGGUGCAAACGUUGGGUGUGAUAUCAACUUAUGUGGUGUUUGCUCAGCUUGCAAUGGCAGAUGCCAUGCCUCUGCCUUAUUUCGUGACCACUUCUGUAGUUGUGGCUUCUGGUCUUAUUUUGAAUUUGAUGAAUUACCUUGAUAUGCUCAAUGCCAGAAUCUGGCAGUUUUGGGAAGAUUUUAUGACUGUUGGUGGCCUAUCAGUCCUCCCCCAAAUUAUGUGGUCAACAUUUAUACCAUAUGUACCAAGAAGUGUCAUACCUGGGACAGUAGCUUUUAUUGUGGCUAUUUCAGCUGUUAUAAUGGCACGUAUGGGCAAACUUUCAGACAAAGGUGCCAAAUUUGUUGGAGCACUAUCUGGAUGGACGGCUACAAUACUCUUUAUGUGGAUGCCUGUUGCACAAAUGUGGACAAAUUUUCUGAAUCCUGAUAACAUUAGGGGGUUGUCAGCUUUCACGAUGGUACUUGCUAUGAUUGGAAAUGGGCUUAUGAUCCCACGUGCACUUUUCAUUCGUGAUUUCAUGUGGUUCACUGGUUCAACGUGGGCUACUCUUUUUUAUGGCUAUGGGAAUAUUGUAUGCUUGUACUCUUUCAAUUGUCUCAGCCGGGAAUUCUUUCUAGCAGCAACGGCUGGUUUGUUGGCUUGGUUAGGAACAGCAUUUUGGAGAGACUCUGUAGUCUAUGGCUACAGCUCUCCUCUGACGUCUUUGAAAGCGCUGGUUGUUGGCACGUAAACUGAAGCUUCUUUGGAACGCAUAUGGCAGAGAUGCAUUCUCAUAUCACAAUCUUGGGUGUGAAGGGGAGAGCAUCCUACCUUGUUAGAAGAUAGCAGCAGUGCAUGAUAAACACGGCUGGUUACAGUACUUUUUUUUAUAAGCAGCUGUUGCAGUUUAGAUCGCAACUGAGAGUUAAUACUAUCCAAUUUACGUUUACUGUUGACAUGAGUAUGCCGUUAAUGUAAAGGCCAAACUGAGCAAAUUUAACAACCAUGGUAGAAGUACCAAAUCUUAGCACAAUAUCAACUUCUUGGUCUACAAAACACCCCCUUGGCAAAAGAUCAGACACAGCUGGAGUUCAUCAUAGCAUACAAACAGCAACAAGCGGUACAGCCAGAUACUAUACCUCAGAUUGGAGAAAAGAAAAGAAAUACAUAACUUCAACUCUGAUA